GUGGAUCAAAACAAAGCUGGGAAGCCAUUUUGUGCUGCUGGGGGUGAGUUAAGCAAACGGCAAGGGGACCAGUUUUGUUGCGUUGGAGCUUCGCUUCCUGAGAGAAUCCAUCUGGACUCCUCCCCUGCAGCUGUGGGGCCUUUAGAAGCUCGUUUGCCCUUGGCUGCUUCCAGAGGGCUCCCGCGCCAGCCGGCUCUGACCGGCCUGUUGCCCCCCUCACUCACGAUGAGCUCCUUCCAGCUUCUGUAUGUGCCACUCCCCGGGACAGGGACCAGAACACAUACCUCCACAGAUGGCACAGUUACACCGGAAGGACCCUGGUCACCGCCACCAGACAGCAGAGUCCGUCAGGGAAGGUAGAGUAAGGCACAGUAUGUGUGUUCAGUGAGACCUCGCUGAGAAGGUUGCAUUCAGAUGUACGAAAGGAGAAUGGAGGAGCCAUAUCUUUACACCCGCAAAGGUGAGGCAGUGGCAUGAGUGGUGUAUUUGACAAAUAGCAAGAACGUAGGGGAGGGUGAGUGGGGAGACAGAAGAAGGAGCAGAAGUGAGGGGGGUGGAGAGGUCAUAAAAAUGGGGCCUCCUAAUAGAGGCCCUUGUAGGACACAGCAAAGACUUGGGUUGAGAUGAGAAGUCACUGGAAGGUUUUGAACAGAGGAAUGAGAUGAUUUGACUCCCUUCUCCUCACUCCGGCCUCUGAGUCAACAAUAGAUUUUAGGGCCGCAAGGGUAGAAGCAGGGAGACGUGGUGGGCGGCGGGGAGGUUGCAGUUAUCCAAGGUGGUAGCUGGCUGUUGACGUGGUGGUAACCACCAAGGUGUGGAUCCCUGAGAGAGACAACAGCAUUUGCUGGCAUAGUGGAUGUGGGGAAAGAAAGAGAAGGGUCAAGAGAGGUCUAAACCUCUUUGUCUCGAACAGCUGGAGGGACAGUUACCCUUCAUGGCGGUGGGAAGGCUCUAAGAGGAGCAGGCUGGGCCUGGGUGCAGAGCAGGAAUUUGGUUGAGGACAUGCUAAAUCUGAGAGGUCAGUGAAUGUCCAGUAUGGACAUAAAUAGGGUCUGAAUGUAUAUAUAUAUAUAUUUUUUAGAACUUAACACUAACAUGUAAGAGAACUAAAUUCAUGUUCUAGCUGUGUUUCCAUGCAUAUUGUAUAUCUUGCAUGAUUUUUGGUAUGUUCCAUAUCUUUUUGGUGUCUUCAUUUCCUCAUUAGAAAAGUGACAGUAAUAUGGUAGUAAUGUUUU
rnacentral:lncRNA from 1 species